CCUACGGGUGGCAGCAGUGAGGAAUAUUGGUCAAUGGGCGAGAGCCUGAACCAGCCAAGUAGCGUGAAGGAUGACUGCCCUAUGGGUUGUAAACUUCGUUUAUAAGGGAGUAAAGUGCGUCACGUAUUCCUUCUUGUAUGUACUUUAUGAAUAAGGAUCGGCUAACUCCGUGCCAGCAGCCGCGGUAAUACGGAGGAUCCGAGCGUUAUCCGGAUUUAUUGGAUUUAAAGGGAGCGUAGGUGGGUUGUUAAGUCAGUUGUGAAAGUUUGCGGCUCAACCGUAAAAUUGCAAUUGAAACUGGCAGACUGGAGUACAGUAGAGGUAGGCGGAAUUCGUGGUGUAGCGGUGAAAUGCUUAGAUAUCACGAAGAACACCGAUUGCGAAGGCAGCUAACUGGACUGCAACUGACACUGAUGCUCGAAAGUGUGGGUAUCAAACAGGAUUAGAUACCCGGGUAGUC
rnacentral:rRNA from 1 species